rnacentral:rRNA from 1 species
GAUGAACGCUGGCGGCGUGCCUAAUACAUGCAAGUCGAGCGAACAGAUGAGGAGCUUGCUCCUCUGACGUUAGCGGCGGACGGGUGAGUAACACGUGGAUAACCUACCUAUAAGACUGGGAUAACUUCGGGAAACCGGAGCUAAUACCGGAUAAUAUAUUGAACCGCAUGGUUCAAUAGUGAAAGACGGUUUUGCUGUCACUUAUAGAUGGAUCCGCGCCGCAUUAGCUAGUUGGUAAGGUAACGGCUUACCAAGGCAACGAUGCGUAGCCGACCUGAGAGGGUGAUCGGCCACACUGGAACUGAGACACGGUCCAGACUCCUAGGGGAGGCAGCAGUAGGGAAUCUUCCGCAAUGGGCGAAAGCCUGACGGAGCAACGCCGCGUGAGUGAUGAAGGUCUUCGGAUCGUAAAACUCUGUUAUUAGGGAAGAACAAAUGCGUAAGUAACUAUGCACGUCUUGACGGUACCUAAUCAGAAAGCCACGGCUAACUACGUG